GGUUAAGUGACUAAGCGUACACGGUGGAUGCCUAGGCAGUCAGAGGCGAUGAAGGGCGUGCUAAUCUGCGAAAAGCGUCGGUAAGGUGAUAUGAACCGUUACAACCGGCGAUACCCGAAUGGGGAAACCCAGUGUGUUUCGACACACUAUCAUGUCAUGAAUACAUAGUGGCAUGAGGCGAACCGGGGGAACUGAAACAUCUAAGUACCCCGAGGAAAAGAAAUCAACCGAGAUUCCCCCAGUAGCGGCGAGCGAACGGGGAGGAGCCCAGAACCUGAAUCGGCUUGUGUGUUAGUGGAAGCGUCUGGAAAGUCGCGCAGCAAAGGGUGAUAGCCCCGUACACUAAAAUGCACAGGUCGUGAGUUCGAUGAGUAGGGCGGGACACGUGACAUCCUGUCUGAAUAUGGGGGGACCAUCCUCCAAGGCUAAAUACUCCUGACUGACCGAUAGUGAACCAGUACCGUGAGGGAAAGGCGAAAAGAACCCCGGCGAGGGGAGUGAAAUAGAACCUGAAACCGUGUACGUACAAGCAGUGGGAGCACCUUCGUGGUGUGACUGCGUACCUUUUGUAUAAUGGGUCAGCGACUUAUAUUUUGUAGCAAGGUUAACCGUAUAGGGGAGCCGUAGGGAAACCGAGUCUUAACUGGGCGAAUAGUUGCAAGGUAUAGACCCGAAACCCGGUGAUCUAGCCAUGGGCAGGUUGAAGGUUGGGUAACACUAACUGGAGGACCGAACCGACUAAUGUUGAAAAAUUAGCGGAUGACUUGUGGCUGGGGGUGAAAGGCCAAUCAAACCGGGAGAUAGCUGGUUCUCCCCGAAAGCUAUUUAGGUAGCGCCUCGUGAACUCAUCUUCGGGGGUAGAGCACUGUUUCGGCUAGGGGGCCAUCCCGGCUUACCAAACCGAUGCAAACUCCGAAUACCGAAGAAUGUUAUCACGGGAGACACACGGCGGGUGCUAACGUCCGUCGUGAAGAGGGAAACAACCCAGACCGCCAGCUAAGGUCCCAAAGUCAUGGUUAAGUGGGAAACGAUGUGGGAAGGCAUAGACAGCCAGGAUGUUGGCUUAGAAGCAGCCAUCAUUUAAAGAAAGCGUAAUAGCUCACUGGUCGAGUCGGCCUGCGCGGAAGAUGUAACGGGGCUAAACCAUGCACCGAAGCUGCGGCAGCGACGCUUAGGCGUUGUUGGGUAGGGGAGCGUUCUGUAAGCCGUUGAAGGUGGCCUGUGAGGGUUGCUGGAGGUAUCAGAAGUGCGAAUGCUGACAUAAGUAACGAUAAAGCGGGUGAAAAGCCCGCUCGCCGGAAGACCAAGGGUUCCUGUCCAACGUUAAUCGGGGCAGGGUGAGUCGACCCCUAAGGCGAGGCUGAAAAGCGUAGUCGAUGGGAAACAGGUUAAUAUUCCUGUACUUGGUGUUACUGCGAAGGGGGGACGGAGAAGGCUAGGCUAGCCGGGCGACGGUUGUCCCGGUUUAAGCGUGUAGGGGGUGUGACCUGGUAAAUCCGGUUGCAUAUCAACCCUGAGGCGUGAUGACGAUGCACUACGGUGCAGAAGUAGUUGAUGCCCUGCUUCCAGGAAAAGCCUCUAAGCUCUAGGUAACAUUAAAUCGUACCCCAAACCGACACAGGUGGUCAGGUAGAGAAUACCAAGGCGCUUGAGAGAACUCGGGUGAAGGAACUAAAUAGCUGCGCCUAAUACCGCUACACUUUUGCCUGACCAUGUUUUCCUCCGGGGAAUGGGCUGGCGGUUUCCAUAAAAUGGCGGACCUUUUUCAGUAACUGCCACAUUGAGCGGCACUGAUGAUUACGGGUUAUCGUGUCAUGAAGUGCCUGCCAUAGCCGUUCCACAUGAUUCACCCACGGCGAGUAAACCGGCUGGUAAAUUACCCUGAACUUGGGAUUUGCUUUCAACCAGCGCUGUGUUUCGCGGCUUUUAUGGAUAAUGUAGUUAUCAACGAUCAGCGUGAUUGUUUUCGCCCGCCGGUAAGUGGCUUUCAGGUGCUUCAGCAGAGCGAUAAACAGCGCUGAACUUUUGCUGUUGCCGCCCACGUAGCUGACUUUACCCGUGCCACUGUGCAGUGCGCCGGCCAGAUAGUAUUUUUCGUUCUGCCCCGGCGUCACUACCCGUUUCUGCUGUCCGCGCAACUGCCAGUCCGCACCGAUUUUAGGAUUAAGGUGGAUAUCCACUUCAUCUUCAUAAAAUACCGGAUGCUCUGCGCUGCAUUCAUCCAGCGCUUUGUGGAUUACCGCCAUCUUUUCAUCUUUAUGUGGGUCACGGAUACGCAGAGUUGGCGCGGCCCUGCGCCAUACAAGCCCCGCAGAUGGCAACCAGCGGCGAACGGUUCCUGCAUGUAACUGGCAACCGGUUAUCUCAUUGAUUUUUAUUGCCAGUAAUUCGGUGCUCCAGCGUGAACGUUGAUAACCAAAAUCGCCGGGAGAAUGCUUUAUCAGCUCACGUAACAGGGUGCAGAUAUGUUCAAAAGGCCAGCGUCGGGAGCGCCCUGCGGGUAAGGAUUUCAGGCCUUCAAUACCUGAGUGCGUAAACCAGUUAAUCCAGCGACCAACGGAUGAACGGGCACAACAGAGAGUUCUGGCAACAUCGCUGACCCGUUCACCCCGAUGAAGCAUCAGCAUGGCCGUGAGUCUGCGGGCAUGAUUUUUAUCACGCGUUUUAUGAAUAGCUUUCUGCAUCAGGCGUCGUUCGCCACGGGGUAUUGGUACUAUGAUCGGCAUCGCUCAGUCCGGUUGGUGAUUUUGGUUGGUUUGGCGAUUGAUCAGAUCGCACAAUCCGGGCUGAGUUCCCUUUCAGUGAUCUACUAUUCCGCGCAGCUAUUUAGGCAAAAUGGUGCCGUAACUUCGGGAGAAGGCACGCUGGCAUGUAGGUGAAGUCCUUCGCGGAUGGAGCUGAAGCCAGUCGAAGAUACCAGCUGGCUGCAACUGUUUAAUAAAAACACAGCACUGUGCAAACACGAAAGUGGACGUAUACGGUGUGACGCCUGCCCGGUGCUGGAAGGUUAAUUGAUGGGGUCAGCCGCAAGGCGAAGCUCUUGAUCGAAGCCCCAGUAAACGGCGGCCGUAACUAUAACGGUCCUAAGGUAGCGAAAUUCCUUGUCGGGUAAGUUCCGACCUGCACGAAUGGCGUAAUGAUGGCCAGGCUGUCUCCACCCGAGACUCAGUGAAAUUGAACUCGCUGUGAAGAUGCAGUGUACCCGCGGCAAGACGGAAAGACCCCGUGAACCUUUACUAUAGCUUGACACUGAACAUUGAGCCUUGAUGUGUAGGAUAGGUGGGAGGCUUUGAAGCGUGGACGCCAGUCUGCGUGGAGCCAUCCUUGAAAUACCACCCUUUAAUGUUUGAUGUUCUAACUCGGCCCCAUAAUCUGGGGUGAGGACAGUGUCUGGUGGGUAGUUUGACUGGGGCGGUCUCCUCCCAAAGAGUAACGGAGGAGCACGAAGGUUAGCUAAUCACGGUCGGACAUCGUGAGGUUAGUGCAAAGGCAUAAGCUAGCUUGACUGCGAGAGUGACGGCUCGAGCAGGUACGAAAGUAGGUCUUAGUGAUCCGGUGGUUCUGAAUGGAAGGGCCAUCGCUCAACGGAUAAAAGGUACUCCGGGGAUAACAGGCUGAUACCGCCCAAGAGUUCAUAUCGACGGCGGUGUUUGGCACCUCGAUGUCGGCUCAUCACAUCCUGGGGCUGAAGUAGGUCCCAAGGGUAUGGCUGUUCGCCAUUUAAAGUGGUACGCGAGCUGGGUUUAGAACGUCGUGAGACAGUUCGGUCCCUAUCUGCCGUGGGCGUUGGAAGAUUGAGAGGGGUUGCUCCUAGUACGAGAGGACCGGAGUGAACGCACCACUGGUGUUCGGGUUGUCAUGCCAAUGGCAUUGCCCGGUAGCUAAGUGCGGAAAAGAUAAGCGCUGAAAGCAUCUAAGCGCGAAACUUGCCUCAAGAUGAGUCUUCCCUGGGCCUUUAAGGCCCCUGAAGGAACGUUUAAGACUAAGACGUUGAUAGGCUGGGUGUGUAAGUGCAGCGAUGCAUUGAGCUAACCAGUACUAAUGAUCCGUGAGGCUUAACCUU
rnacentral:rRNA from 1 species